GAUGAACGCUGGCGGCGUGCCUAACACAUGCAAGUCGAGCGGAGAAUCAGAAGUAGUAAUACGGACGGUUCUUAGCGGCGGACGGGUGAGUAACACGUGAGUAAUCUGCCUUCUGCAGGGGAAUAACAUUGUGAAAACAGUGCUAAUACCGCAUGACAUAGUAUCGGGGCAUCCCGGGACUAUCAAAGGAGUAAUCCGGCAGAAGAUGAACUCGCGUCCGAUUAGCUAGUUGGCGGGGUAACGGCCCACCAAGGCGACGAUCGGUAGCCGAACUGAGAGGUUGAUCGGCCACAUUGGGACUGAGACACGGCCCAGACUCCUACGGGAGGCAGCAGUGGGGAAUAUUGGGCAAUGGGGGCAACCCUGACCCAGCAACGCCGCGUGAAGGACGAAGGCCUUCGGGUUGUAACGUUACUUUGUAUCAGGGACGAAGUAAAUAGACGGUACCUGAAGAACAAGACCACGGCUAACUAACGUGCCAGCAGCGCGGUAAACGUAGACGUG
rnacentral:rRNA from 1 species